GGUAGUUUGACUGGGGCGGUCUCCUCCUAAAGAGUAACGGAGGAGCACGAAGGUUGGCUAAUCCUGGUCGGACAUCAGGAGGUUAGUGCAAUGGCAUAAGCCAGCUUGACUGCGAGCGUGACGGCGCGAGCAGGUGCGAAAGCAGGUCAUAGUGAUCCGGUGGUUCUGAAUGGAAGGGCCAUCGCUCAACGGAUAAAAGGUACUCCGGGGAUAACAGGCUGAUACCGCCCAAGAGUUCAUAUCGACGGCGGUGUUUGGCACCUCGAUGUCGGCUCAUCACAUCCUGGGGCUGAAGUAGGUCCCAAGGGUAUGGCUGUUCGCCAUUUAAAGUGGUACGCGAGCUGGGUUUAGAACGUCGUGAGACAGUUCGGUCCCUAUCUGCCGUGGGCGCUGGAGAACUGAGGGGGGCUGCUCCUAGUACGAGAGGACCGGAGUGGACGCAUCACUGGUGUUCGGGUUGUCAUGCCAAUGGCACUGCCCGGUAGCUAAAUGCGGAAGAGAUAAGUGCUGAAAGCAUCUAAGCACGAAACUUGCCCCGAGAUGAGUUCUCCCUGAGACUUAGAGUCUCCUGAAGGAACGUUGAAGACGACGACGUUGAUAGGCCGGGUGUGUAAGCGCAGCGAUGCGUUGAGCUAACCGGUACUAAUGAACCGUGAGGCUUAACCUU
rnacentral:rRNA from 1 species